rnacentral:rRNA from 1 species
AGCUCGUGUCGUGAGAUGUGGUUAAGUCCCGCAACGAGCGCAACCCCUACUUGUUAGUUGCCAUCAUUCAGUUGGGCACUCUAGCGAGACUGCCGGUAAUAAACCGGAGGAAGGUGGGGAUGACGUCAAAUCAUCAUGCCCCUUAUGACCUGGGCUACACACGUGCUACAAUGGUUGGUACAACGAGUUGCGAGUCGGUGACGGCGAGCUAAUCUCUUAAAGCCAAUCUCAGUUCGGAUUGUAGGCUGCAACUCGCCUACAUGAAGUCGGAAUCGCUAGUAAUCGCGGAUCAGCACGCCGCGGUGAAUACGUUCCCGGGCCUU